UAUACGAAUGGGCAAUUGGGCAAUAAU
rnacentral:piRNA from 1 species